CCUACGGGUGACCGCAGUGAGGAAUAUUGGUCAAUGGGCUUACGCCUGAACCAGCCAAGUCGCGUGAGGGAAGACGGCCCUACGGGUUGUAAACCUCUUUUGUCGGGGAGCAAAGCGAACCACGUGUGGUUCAUUGAGAGUACCCGAAGAAAAAGCAUCGGCUAACUCCGUGCCAGCAGCCGCGGUAAUACGGAGGAUGCAGGCGUUAUCCGGAUUUAUUGGGUUUAAAGGGUGCGCAGGCGGAGGUGCAAGUCAGCGGUCACAUUGCGGGGCUCAACCCCGUACUGCCGUUGAAACUGCAUCCCUUGAGUGCGCGAGAAGUAUGCGGAAUGCGUGGUGUAGCGGUGAAAUGCAUAGAUAUCACGCAGAACUCCGAUUGCGAAGGCAGCAUACCGGCGCGCAACUGACGCUCAUGCACGAAAGCGUGGGUAUCGAACAGGAUUAGAUACCCGAGUAGUC
rnacentral:rRNA from 1 species